AAAUUAUUUCUCACUGACACGGAUUUGUGGUUUUUCCUUAAUUACCCUCUCGGGGAAAACCUCAGUGGCCGCAGGUGUGACCCGUACAGAGCAAAUCCACGAUACAAACAGGCGGAGUUUGACACUGGCUGACUUCUUUCCAUCCUGAGUGGAGCUGAGGUGGAGCGAACAAGUGGCAGCCACCAUGACUCAUGCAACCAUGUCACCAGAUAUACCUGAUCAUCUUCAUGGAUCCACCAUCUCAAGACACUCCACAGUGGACCUGAGGGGUUUUUGAAGCCACCGACUAUUGACACAUUUCCUACAGGUAUAAAUAUAUCUACCCAUGGAUGUUGUAAAUUACGAAGAGCUCAUGAAGGCAACAUAGCUCCCAACCCACCUCACGUCACAAACCACUGUGGAUUUAUGGGAAUCGUAGUUUAUUUUACAUAUCAAUAGAGGUUACAUUGUUAUUUUGAUUUGAUUGUACAUUAUAUAGUAUUAUUUUAAAUUAUGUAUUGUUGUUUUCUAACUUUGACCAGAAACAUAGUUGAUAUUUUCACUUUUUUACUGUUUUCAGUCACUGUAAGAGACCAAAACAACGCUGUUCAUUCAACCCACAGCCUGACGAGGACAUGAAGCUUUAAUAUUUAAUGACACAGCGCCACCAACUGGUUAAAGACCAGCUCACAUUGUAACAUACUAAUAACUUAUUAUGAUGAGGAGGUAGUAACAAAUAUAUGAGCGUUUUGAUCCCUUCAAUUGAUACCUAAAGGUCAGACAGAGGAAUAAAACAACCAGUAUGUCAGGAAUCAUAUUUAUAUACAUUUUGGUUUGCAUAUUUUUUGUAAUUUGUUUGAAUCUGGUGCAAAUUAGCAUCAACUAAACGUCCUAUAUACACAUUACUGUUGUAUUGCUUAUGUGUAAUAAUGUUUAUUUGUAUGGUCCUUGUUAAAUAAACUAAUGAAAUAACAAUAAAUAUCAAUUACAGUUUGUAUAGUUUCUU